UGGGGAAUCUUGCACAAUGGAGGCAACUCUGAUGCAGCGACGCCGCGUGAGCGAUGAAGCCCCUCGGGGUGUAAAGCUCUUUCGACGGGAAAGAUUAUGACGGUACCCGAAGAAGAAGCUGCGGCUAACUACGUGCCAGCAGCCGCGGUAAUACGUAGGCAGCGAGCGUUGUUCGGAAUUACUGGGCGUAAAGAGUGCGUAGGCGGUGUCCUAAGUCUGGUGUGAAAUCUCCCGGCUCAACUGGGAGGGUGCGCCGGAAACUAGGAUGCUAGAGGGUGGGAGAGGUAAGCGGAAUUCCUGGUGUAGCGGUGAAAUGCGUAGAUAUCAGGAGGAACACCUGUGGUGUAGACAGCUUACUGGACCACUUCUGACGCUGAGGCACGAAAGCGUGGGUAGCAAACAGGAUUAGAUACCCCUGUAGUCC
rnacentral:rRNA from 1 species